rnacentral:rRNA from 1 species
UACGAAGGGGGCGAGCGUUGUUCGGAAUUACUGGGCGUAAAGGGCGCGUAGGCGGCCGAGCAAGUUAGAUGUGAAAGUCCUGGGCUUAACCUGGGGACUGCAUUUGAUACUGCUUGGCUUGAAUUCGGGAGAGGAUAGCGGAAUUCCCAGUGUAGAGGUGAAAUUCGUAGAUAUUGGGAAGAACACCGGUGGCGAAGGCGGCUAUCUGGACCGACAUUGACGCUGAC